rnacentral:lncRNA from 1 species
AACGAUGGGUCUUGAAGAAACGGAUGGUUGGGAUACUUAGAUCGGCUAAAAUGGACGGUAUGCAUACCAUCAAAAAAAAUACCAUUAUACACGCAUGCAAUCCGAUGACAAUUGGCGCUACAUGGAUCACUAAGGGACCCAUUGCCAUCUUCGCUCCUAUAAGUAGGGUCGGACCUUUUUUUCACUCUUGUUUUGGGCGACGCACUAACAACUGGCACCACACAGCUCAAUAGGGAACCCACCACCAUCUCCUAUAGGGCUGCAUCUUUCGCUCGCUUUGUUUCCCCUCUCAUUUCAGACGGUACAAGAGAGGGAGCAAAUGAGGCACAGGAGGCCCUUCGCUGAAUUGUGGAUGGAAG